rnacentral:rRNA from 1 species
UACGAAGGGGGCUAGCGUUGCUCGGAAUCACUGGGCGUAAAGCGCACGUAGGCGGAUCUUUAAGUCAGGGGUGAAAUCCUGGAGCUCAACUCCAGAACUGCCUUUGAUACUGAGGAUCUUGAGUCCGGGAGAGGUGAGUGGAACUCCGGGUGUAGAGGUGAAAUUCGUAGAUAUUCGGAAGAACACCAGUGGCGAAGGCGGCUCACUGGCCCGGUACUGACGCUGAGGUGCGAAAGCGUGGGGAGCAAACAGG